rnacentral:rRNA from 1 species
GAGUUUGAUCGUGGCUCAGGACGAACGCUGGCGGCGUGCUUAACACAUGCAAGUCGAACGGUGACCUCGGAGCUUGCUCCGGGUGAUCAGUGGCGAACGGGUGAGUAACACGUGAGGCAACCUGCCCCCCGACUCUGGGGAUAACCCCCGGGAAAUCGGAGCUAAUACCGGAUACGAGACGCACAGGCAUCUGUUGCGUCUGGAAAGAAUUUCGGCCGGGGAUGGGCUCGCGGCCUAUCAGCUAGUUGGUGGGGUAGUGGCUACCAAGGCGACGACGGGUAGCCGGCCUGAGAGGGCGACCGGCCACACUGGGGACUGAGACACGGCCCAGACUCCUACGGGAGGCAGUAGUGGGGAAUAUUGCACAAUGGGCGCAAGCCUGAUGCAGCGACGCCGCGUGAGGGAUGACGGCCU